CGAGUAAAUCGCCUUAUCGAUUCUAAAUUUAUUUAGGGUAGGAAAGUCCGAACACCAAAGUGCGAUGCAGUGGCUAACGGCCAUCCACCGUGAGGUGAGGAAAAGUGCAACAGAAAGAAUGUACAGGUAAUGCUGUAGUGAAAUCAGGUAAACUCUGUGUGGUGCAAUGUCAUGUAAACUAACGCUUGAGGGCUGCACGCCCGAUGUUAGAGGGUAGACAGCUAAAGUUUACUGGUAACAGUAAACGUAGAUAAAUGAUAAGGACUCUUUGUGAGUACAGAAUUCGGCUUAUAGGUUUACUCUAAAU
rnacentral:RNase_P_RNA from 1 species